CCGCAUGUCAAUCAACCUCCACCGGGGGCGGGAAGGGAGGCGGGGCCUGCUAACGGCUCCUCCCGAUCGUCGGAGAAGGGACGACGUCCAUUACAGGAAACCGUGCACUUGCUGGCAUUUAGACGUUUUUGGUUGGAUGUUAAACUCAUCACAGAUCAGGGUAAACAAAGAAAAGAACCAAUGAUGUCUGCGAGCGUCGUCCAGAUGUUUUUGAAGGAAGAGUGUUCCAGAUUCGCAUGAGGUGUGGUGAUACUCCAUCGCCAGUCAUAUCUCUCUGACGAGAGAGCAGCACUGUGGCACCUGGGACUAUGAAAAGCCAUGCUACAGGUAGAUGGGAUUCUUCCAGCCUCCAAACAAAAUGUGAAAGUACAACAGCAAACUAGAGCAAAUGAACAUAAGAAAUAGGAGCAGGAAUUGGAUGUGCUACUCAUCAAGCCCGCUCCACCACUGAAGAUCACUCUUCUAUCUCAACUGUACUUUCCCAUAUCCUGUGAUUCCCUUGGUGUCCAAAAACUUUUGAUUUGCCAUUCAUUUUUCCUCUGGAGGACUGUUAGGCCUCCGCUUGGAAUCUGAUGACAGUAGCACAUUUAAAUCAUGAGCUCACCGAGUAUAGGAAGUCCCAAGUGUGGAAGCAAAUUUUACAGUCUCUGCUGAAAAUUAUAGUAUCUGUCCACAGAGUGGGCCUUAAGUAAGACAUCAUUAGAUUUGACCCUUAGCAAAACCUUAACAAAUCAUAUAAGCUUCUAGUUCAGAAUUCAACCAAUUUGCCAAGUUCCAAUUUGAAUGACUCCAUUAUGUAUUAAAAGGUAUGUAAUUCAGUAACAUCUCAGGGUAGAUUUUAACUGUUGGGUGACAAAUCAGUGGAGCAUGUCAGGUGGCAGCCCAAUAAGUGGCAGAAGGAGGACAUGUCCAUUCUGAGGGCUGGGUGUUAUUACAUGCUCCUAGCAGUUUUCGAGUCCCAAAGGGUUCACUGGUUAUUGGUUGUAGUUGUGGAACCCUAGCAGCACUAUUGUUUCUCCUGGCCUUAAAAAUAAUUUUGAACCUUGUCAUUUUCAUCCUGCUUCGUUGGACAGUACCUGGUAAAGCUGGGAACGAACAAAGCAUUACUGUGCCCCGCUGUCUCCAGAAUGGCAGUCAGGUACCGAUGCAGAUUAAUGUCAGCUGAAUUGGAAACAGGAAUAGGGAAAUAAAGUUUUGGAAGAGACUACCAUUCUAUUAAAAUGGUAAAAUAACCAUAGCUCUGUCAGACCAUUGGACUGCUCGCUCCACUGUCCAGUAGAACCUGUGAAAAUCUUCCUUCAUUCUAAUUGUGCUUACUUUAUCU